rnacentral:rRNA from 1 species
UACGGAGGGUGCGAGCGUUAAUCGGAAUUACUGGGCGUAAAGGGUGCGUAGGUGGUUUAGUAAGAUAGUUGUGAAAUUCCUGGGCUCAACCUGGGGAGGUCAAGUGUGACUGCUAGACUAGAGUAUAGGAGAGGGUAGUGGAAUUUCCGGUGUAGCGGUGAAAUGCGUAGAGAUCGGAAGGAACACCGGUGGCGAAGGCGGCUACCUGGCCGGAUACUGACACUGAGGCACGAAAGCGUGGGGAGCAAACAGGAUUAGAUACCCUGGUAGUCCACGCUGUAAACGAUGUCAACUAGCUGUUGGCCUUAUAGAAGAGGUUAGUGGCGCAGCAAACGCGAUAAGUUGACCGCCUGGGGAGUACGGUCGCAAGAUUAAA